AUGUAUUUUCCUACAACGUUAAUGCAUUAGAUCCUAUCAAAACUCUGCAACUAAGCGCACAUGGGCUAGAGUAGUAUUAGGAUGGGUGACCUAUCAGGAAUUCCUAUUGUUUUACAUG
rnacentral:rRNA from 1 species